rnacentral:rRNA from 1 species
GAUGAACGCUAGCGAUAGGCCUAACACAUGCAAGUCGAGGGGCAGCAUAGAGUAGCAAUACUUUGAUGGCGACCGGCGCACGGGUGAGUAACACGUAUGCAACCUACCUACAUCAGGGGAAUAACCCGGAGAAAUUCGGACUAAUACCGCAUAAUACAGGGAUGCCGCAUGGCAAUAUUUGUUAAAGAUUUAUCGGAUGUAGAUGGGCAUGCGUUCCAUUAGCUGGUUGGUAAGGUAACGGCUUACCAAGGCAACGAUGGAUAGGGGAACUGAGGAGUUUGUCCCCCACACUGGAACUGGGACACGGCCCAGACUCCUACGGGAGGCAGCAGUGAGGAAUAUUGGUCAAUGGACGAGAGUCUGAACCAGCCAAAUCGCGUGAAGGAAGACUGCCCUACGGGUUGUAAACUUCUUCUGUACAGGAAUAAAAGACAUUACGUGUAAUGUAUUGCAUGUACUGUACGAAUAAGCAUCGGCUAACUCCGUGCCAGCCGCCGCGGUAA